AUCGCUCUAUUUUUUCCUCAUCUGCAUGCAGGCACUGGUGAUGCUACCUGUCAGCCAAGCAACGGGGACGAAGGAUUUAUGCGGUGUGAAUUUGGUCAUCUUGAGGCGCCUUUGUAAACUUGCUGAGGUCUCCUUGUGAUCAACUUACAGUCUGUACAGGAUAAAGAUGAAGAGCAUCCCCUUCACAGCGAAUUGUGAAAUGUGUUGACUGGACAAAUAAGGUCAAUUGUUUUGCCGCCCAUCCUCCCAAACACAUAAUCUCCUCUCCAGACUCAGUGCAGUGGAGUUGGGGUGUAAUGUAUAUCAUGUAUCACGAUCACAUGAGCCUUGCAUACUGCUACAAUGCACCCUUAUGGGCUUCUUAUUGGCUGAUAGGUUGUAGAGGUGACACCCUGCCCUUCCCCUCCCAAGCCCUUGCCCCCACCUCCACGGGGGAAGUGAUGCGUCGCCAUCUGACCUUGAGUGCCUUUGGCUGCAACUGAUUGGCUUGUGCUGGUGCGGAUGAGCAAAGUCAUCAAACAUUAAUGUGCAAAUCUAAUAAAUGUGCUGAGGUUCAGAGGGCCGGCUUGAAGCUUGAUCGCAAAACUGCCCCCUCUCUCUCUCUAAAUCAAUCUGUCAAUCAAUGUGUCUGCAUUAUUCAACCAUCUCUCCACCACUUGGGAAAAUUACAUCAUGGUGGCAAAUUGUCUCCUAUAAAAGACCAGAGAGAUAUCAUGUGAAGAAUUGAUCAAUAAGGCCACGUAUGCUUUUCGAUUCUGCAUUAUGUGUCAACAUGGCUACAAAAUAUUUGUGUUUUUUUUAUGGCUUAUCGAUGCUUUAUGAAGAAAAUGUUUGUUUAAGGCCAGUUCAAAUUGAUAUUUCACAACAUCCAAUGUAAACUGAAGGCAUACUGGUCGUUUUCAAACUAUCGUUGACUUGAAUUUUGCUUUCUUGCAUUUAUUUUGCUGAUGAUCAUUAUGGUUUGCUAUCAGGUUA